rnacentral:lncRNA from 1 species
AGAGGCUGCACAUCCUCCUGCACUGUUCCCUCCUCAGUCCAAGCCCCACUGUUGGAUGGACCAUCAUGCAAAGCUGGCCACAGAUCCUCAGGGCCUGCAAUGUUCCUGUCCUCAGAAAGGUCUCUGGUGCAUAUCUACCACCCGAGGUGAGCAGACAUCUUGGUGAGCAGUGAAAUGAUCCUGAGAAACUGCUCCGAUACAGCUACACAACCCACAGCCCGUUCAUUCAAGGUCAUUCAGACAAGCCUUCUGACCUCUGCAC